rnacentral:lncRNA from 1 species
UGACAUUUGGCACUCAGGCUUUACGUACUUAAAAUGUAUCCUCUCAAGUUGAAUCAUUGCCAGAGGACAUGAGACUAGUUAACGUAUCCAUUUUACAGAAAUAGAAACUGAGACUCAGAGCGGAGGCGACUAGUCUGUCGACACUCAGCUAAAGGAGCAGCUACAGCCUGGAUUCCAACUCCUGUCUGACCACAUCCAGAGUAUUUCCUUUGAUUUGUGGAACACUCGGGAUUCACGGGGUCCCACUGGGAGCCUGUGGAGGGUGCAAGGGAAUCAUGGUUGUCAUAGCUAUUCCCUUACAAGAGUGACAACGGAGAGGAGAACAUUGCAGUUGGCCAUUUGUGAAGCAUCAGGCUGCCUCCCUAUUGCUUCAAAGUGUCCUCAGGCUUUGUUGGGCUGAGAUAAAUGCAGGGGCUUUCUGCAGAGGAAACCCGUCAAAGGAGAAUUGGUUUCUGAGGAAUUAAUUGGAAUUCCCUCAGCAUCAGCCUGAACAUUGUUCAUCCCCAGUGGAUUAUCAUUAA